AACGAACGCUGGCGGCAGGCCUAACACAUGCAAGUCGAGCGGACCCUUCGGGGUUAGCUGCGGACGCGUGUGUCACGCGUGGGACUAUGCCCUUCUCUACGGGAUACUCCUUUUACACUGGGGGUAAUACCGUAUACGCUCUGCUGGGGAAAGAUUUAUCGUGGGAGGAUUAGCCGGCGUUGUUUUAGGUAGUUGGGGGUGUAAUGGCCUAUCAAGCCGACGAUCCUUAGCUGGGUUGAGAGGAUGAUCAGCCACACUGGGACUAAGACACGGCCCAGAAUACUACGGGAGGCAGCAGAGGGGGAUCUUAGAAAAUCGGGGCGACGAUGAUCUAGCCAGGCCGGGUGAGUGAUGAUGGUGUUAGGGAAGUACAGCAGUUUAAGCUGGGAAGAUAAUGACGGUACCAGAAGAAGAAGCCCCGGCUAACUCCGUG
rnacentral:rRNA from 1 species